rnacentral:rRNA from 1 species
GGCUUACACAUGCAAGUCGAACGGUAACAGAAAGUAGCUUGCUACUUUGCUGACGAGUGGCGGACGGGUGAGUAAUGCUUGGGAAUAUGCCUUAUGGUGGGGGACAACAGUUGGAAACGACUGCUAAUACCGCAUAACAUCUCCGGAUCAAAGUGGGGGACCUUCGGGCCUCACGCCAUAAGAGUAGCCCAAGUGGGAUUAGCUAGUUGGUAAGGUAAUGGCUUACCAAGGCGACGAUCCCUAGUUGGUCUUAGAGGAUGACCAGCCACACUGGAACUGAGACACGGUCCAGACUCCUACGGGAGGCAGCAGUGGGGAAUAUUGCACAAUGGGCGCAAGCCUGAUGCAGCCAUGCCGCGUGUGUGAAGAAGGCUUUCGGGUUGUAAAGCACUUUCAGCGAGGAGGAAAGGGUGUUAGUUAAUAUCUAGCAUCUGUGACGUUACUCGCAGAAGAAGCACCGGCUAACUCCGUGCCAGCAGCCGCGGUAAUACGGAGGGUGCGAGCGUUAAUCGGAAUUACUGGGCGUAAAGCGCGCGUAGGCGGUUAAUUAAGUCAGAUGUGAAAUCCCAGGGCUCAACCUUGGAACUGCAUUUGAAACUGGUUAACUAGAGUUUUGUAGAGGGUGGUAGAAUUUCAGGUGUAGCGGUGAAAUGCGUAGAGAUCUGAAGGAAUACCAGUGGCGAAGGCGGCCACCUGGACAAAGACUGACGCUGAGGCGCGAAGGCGUGGGGAGCAAACGGGAUUAGAUACCCCGGUAGUCCACGCAGUAAACGAUGUCUAUUAGAAUUUUGUGGCUAUAUGCCGUGGGAUUCAAAGCUAACGCAUUAAAUAGACGCCUGGGGAGUACGGCCGCAAGGUUAAACUCAAUGAAUUGACGGGGCCGCACAAGCGGUGGAGCAU